rfam:Brassica napus, WGS project CCCW01000000 data, contig: 17277
GUGUGGGAUCAUAUCAACACUAAUGCAUCAAAUUCCAUUAAAAAUCUGCAUUUAAACGUAUUUAGACGAGAAUAAUAUUAAAAAGGUAACCUUCAGUAAAGUUUCGUGGCACUCUUU